rnacentral:sRNA from 1 species
AACCCCGGCUGGGCGGGGGAGAGGAAGGGGCGGGGCAGGGAGCCCGCCAGAGUGCGGAGUCGCGGUCCGGACCCGGAGCACGAGCCCUAAAGACGCUCAGCACUCGUCGCUUCUCCUAGCAGACCCCGCCCGGCCUGGCGAUGGAGUUUCCGGACCUCGGGGCUCACUGUUCGGAGCCGAGCUGUCAGCGCUUGGAUUUUCUGCCGCUUAAGUGUGAUGCCUGCUCAGGCAUCUUCUGCGCAGACCAUGUGGCCUACGCCCAGCAUCACUGUGGAUCUGCUUACCAAAAGGAUAUCCAGGUACCUGUGUGCCCUCUCUGUAAUGUGCCUGUGCCUGUGGCCAGAGGGGAGCCCCCUGACCGUGCUGUGGGAGAGCACAUUGACAGAGACUGUCGCUCUGAUCCAGCACAGCAAAAACAUCUUCACCAAUAAGUGCGAGCGCGCUGGCUGCCGGCAGCGAGAAAUGAUGAAACUGACCUGUGAACGCUGUAGCCGAAACUUCUGCAUCAAGCACCGGCACCCACUGGACCAUGAU